UACGGAGGGUGCAAGCGUUAUCCGGAUUCACUGGGUUUAAAGGGUGCGUAGGUGGGUCUGUAAGUCCGUGGUGAAAUCUCCGAGCUUAACUUGGAAACUGCCAUGGAUACUAUUUAUCUUGAAUAUCGUUGAGGUAGGCGGAAUAUGUCAUGUAGCGGUGAAAUGCUUAGAUAUGACAUAGAACACCGAUUGCGAAGGCAGCUUGCUAAACGAUUAUUGACGCUGAGGCACGAAAGCGUGGGGAUCAAACAGG
rnacentral:rRNA from 1 species